GACGAACGCUGGCGGCGCGCCUAACACAUGCAAGUCGAACGGUGAAGAGGAGCUUGCUCCUCGGAACAGUGGCGGACGGGUGAGUAACACGUGAGCAACCUGGCUCUAAGAGGGGGACAACAGUUGGAAACGACUGCUAAUACCGCAUAACGUAUCGGGAUGGCAUCUUCCUGAUACCAAAGAUUUUAUCGCUUAGAGAUGGGCUCGCGUCUGAUUAGAUAGUUGGCGGGGUAACGGCCCACCAAGUCGACGAUCAGUAGCCGGACUGAGAGGUUGAACGGCCACAUUGGGACUGAGACACGGCCCAGACUCCUACGGGAGGGAGCAGUGGGGGAUAUUGGACAAUGGGGGCAACCCUGAUCCAGCGACGCCGCGUGAGGGAAGAAGGUUUUCGGAUUGUAAACCUCUGUUGACGGAGAAAAAAAUGAUGGUAUCCGUUUAGAAAGCCACGGCUAACUACGUG
rnacentral:rRNA from 1 species